CCGGAGCGCUCCCGUCCCCUCCGGCAUGGCGGCUGUGCGCGGGACCGCCCGCGAGGGAACUACAGCUCCCAGCGCGCUCCGCGCGGAGCCACGCCCGCGCCCCGCUGGGCAUGUGGCCCUGUGCAUGCUGGGAGUGGUAGGCCUAGCGGGAGCGCUGGCUCCCACCGUGCGCGCUGGGAAUUGUAGUCCUUGGCGUGGCGCUGCGCCGGGGCAGCGCCGGGCGGGGCGGGAGCGGCUCCGCCGGGGCUGUCCCGGGGCCGGGAUGCCGGGGUGCCGCUCCCUGCCUCGGCUGCGCCGGGCUCUGCGCUGGGGCGGCGCCGUCCCACCUGCGCAGGCCUGCCCGGCCCCGGCGAGCCGCUGCUUGCCCGCCCGCCGGGGCCGCCGCGCCUCCCCCCGCUCGCCUCAAACCCGGGCUUUGGGGCGCUUUUAUGGUUUAUUUUAUGGGUUUUUAAAGAAAAUCCCCAGCAGACACCGUCCAGCAGACGGGCGUGGCCAGGGCGUACGUGUCCCGGUGUUCAUUUCCAGGCAGCGCCUCGGGAUUCGCGACGUGAAUCACGCUCCUGUUUGACAUGUAAACAGCAGUAAAAGCCGGUGUCUUUCUAAACACCGAGAGAUUAAAUGUCACCGAACCUGAUGGGCCAGUGCACCGGGAUCCCCCACGCCCCCCAGGAGGAAAGGUUCGCCUUUUGGAAGAUCUUUGCCGCUGGGAGCAGCUUCCCUUGGAAACCCCCCUGGCGAGCCUCGGUGUGACCCGGUGUCUGCGGGCAGGGAUUUGCCUGUCUUGGGCCUCUGCGAUGCCCCAGCAAGCCCCGAUUCCGGGACGUGUUGUAAUUUUGGAGUUUGCUAAUGAGCUUGCCUGUGUGCCCGGCACACACUGUGUGCCUUGGGGAUUGGCAGUGCAGGCUGGUAAUCCUGCUAACCUGGCUCUGGCAGGUGGUGACAACUCCUUUAAUUGUUCUAGGAUUGAGAGCUGGCUUCUUGCUAUGCACAGGGAUUGGCUGUGAAUGAGUAAAACGAGGGAGAAAAUUAUUUGUGCUAAUAAUUCUUUUCCAUUCUGCCUUGGUGGCCGUGAGCAUGCUCCCGUCUGCAAGCACAGGCACCGCACUGGACCUGUCAGCUGUGGGAUACAAGGCUCAGGUUUGCGGGGACAUAAACCCGUGAUAAAACAUUUAUGUUCCAGUAAGCGACACCUCUCUGAUAGUUAUUUAAAGUCUCUGUCUGCAUUGUUCCAGAACUAUUUCCUUUUUCCUCUAAGCAACCUCGAGUAGGAAGCUGACGGUCCCUCAGGUAACCCGCUUUCACCUCGCUGGAAGCCUCGCCUGAUGUUGGGUUGAAGGCCAGCAGAACCCGCAGAGGGUGAGAGUGGGUCUCCUCCUUCCUGCCUUUUGUGGAGCUGGCCAAAGAUAACACUUCUGGGUUGGUCCCGGGCAGUGCAGAAAUGGGCCCUUUCUGUUGUUACUCACAUAUUCCACUCUCAGGUCAGAAAAUUGGCGUUGAUGAUGCUGUAAAAUGGACGUGCUCGCUUGGGACAUCCUUCUCUACCCUUUGAAGUGCUCAGAAGUAUUCCUACUGAUUUCAUUGGGAAGGGAUUCUUUGUCUGAUGUGUUAGUCUGUGUGCCAAUUAGUAUUUCAUACUGAGUGGAAGGGAAAGGACUAGGGAUGGAUUUAUGAUGGAUGUUUGUAGAGCAGGGCAUUUUAAACAGUAAGUGCAAUUUGCAGAUCAGUAAUUUGGCAGUUGUUUGUUUUUAAAAACCAAUCCAGCGUCUUAGAUAUGGCUAUGGCUGAAAGUGAACAUAAGAGACAGCCAGUUGUUUCACACUGUGAAACCAAGAGUUAUUCCUGUGGUAAAAAAUAUGGCCUGUGGAGCAACAGAAACUAACUGAAAGCAAGAUGUUGUAAAUCAAAUUGCAGGCCAGGUUUUUUGCCAGUGGCCUUCACAGUGCUAAUGACCACCUGGAGUCCAGCAUUAUGUGAGGAUGGGCAUUUGGAGCCCUUCUCAGUCAUGCAGGGAAUCACUUUCCAAACACAGUUUUCCUGCCAACGGGGUUUGUUUGCUUGGUGAUAAGAAACAAUGGUCAACUCAAUUUGUUACAUGAGCAUUUUAGUGACUGAGAAAUGGAGUCUGGCAUCCUAUACUAAAUCCAUUUUCUUAGUGACUCAAACGCCAGCUUGGCAGCCUAUUUAGAAAGCUGAUAGCACUGGGACAGGCGUGACUGUGGAGGUUGUUUUCAACAUUCUCUUGUAAGUCUGCUUUUAAGACACCUCUCUCAGCUGGGAAAAAACCCCACAGUUGCCACCUUCAGGACUGGGAGGUCUGGAUGAGAGAAAGGAGAGAAGCAGGGGCAUUGUCUGCAGCUCAAUAUCCUACUUUUCAAAGUGCUUUAAUAACAGUACUGGGUUUAGUUUUGAGUAAGACUGAUUUAUCCACUAGAGUGGUAUUAGCUAUACUUAAGAGGGAAAAGCAUGUCAUAGAGGACAUAAUUUCCCUUGUUUUGUUGGAAAAGAAGCAACAAGAGAAGCUGUGACUUUUCUAAUUACGGGCGAGUCAGUGCAUUAUGUCAGUGUCACCCCACAUUGCUGGAGAAGUCAGAACUAGACCACAGCAAAAUGAUGCCCAGGUCUCAAGUUGUGUCCCCAUGGCAUGCAGCUUCCCAAGUCCUGAGACUUCAGAUAAAACCCCAUGUGAGAGAAAACAUACUCCAGAGUGCAGCAGACAGCAGAGAUGUGCAUUGCUGGAAUCCAGAGGGUUUCGUAAUUUGGCAGCCACUUGCUGAAAGCCCUGCAGAUACAAAACAACACUUAUUUCAAGUCUUGAGAAACAUCUACCAAGUAGAAGAAAAAAGCACUUAGGUGAAGCAAUGUUGCCAGUCCCAUUUGUUUAUGAGGCUUGGUUUUUGUCUCCAUAAAUUUUAAAUGCUUUUUAUUUUCCUUCUGCUUUUUGAGCCUUUCAAGUUCAUGUUUUCCAUGUUUUCCAUAUAACAAGAAAGUCUGGAAUCAAGUCCUUAGUUUAAAAAACAAAAAUUUGGUUCAGAGUCCUGUAUAAUCAUGUAGCUCCAGACAAAGGGUGUUUAAAAAUAAAGCCACUUUGAUGAGAACUGCCCAUCUUGAAGGUGACUUUCUCUAGGAGUUUAAGUAAAUACUUUGUUGACAGUUUAAGAAGCUUUUAACAGCACCUGAUCUGUGUUUGUUUUCCACUCAGAUCUCUCUCUCUUUUCUUCUCUUCUAAAAACCUAGAGCGUGUUUCACCUCUGUAUGUGCUGAGGAGAUCAGAAGUGCAGUGUACCAGCAUGGCUGUGACCGUGUUGAACAAUGCACACCAAUGCUUUCAGAAAUACAGGUGCAGAUUUCAUGCAAUUGUCUCCUUAAGCUGCUGAGUGGUACCAUGGGACACAGAGCCCAGCUUCAGAGACAGGAGGAGGAAGGUGGUUUGGGUUUACUGGGUGGGGUAAGGCGGGGAACAGAAAGCCUGGUGUGACUCCCUGAGGGAAUCCCAAAGAAUCCCGAAUGCCUUCAGAGCCAGAAGCUUGAUAGCUUGUGUUUAACCCAGUCCUUGUUUUUGAAAGGGAGUUGACAGAUGAGUGUUUUCUUUUAGCUGAGCUUUCAGAAUAUGCUUAUUUUAAGUUUGUCGUUUGAUGCAGUGGGAUCCUCAAGCUGUGUGCAAAACUCAAGAAGGAGAUGACCUUAUUCAGUGUGAUGAUUUUUCUUUCACUGCUAUGUAUGUAAAAGUGCCUGGAAAUCUAUUAUCUAAGAGACAUAAAAACAGCUUUUUAACAGGCUGCUCUUCCUGCUAACACCUGGUAAAUGCAGAGGCCUGACUACAUGAAAGAGCAAUUUAUAUUAGGAUUGGAAUUGACUUCAGGUUUUACUGCUAUUUGUCAUCACUCAGGAAACCCAUCCCUAGUUCUAGGAGAACACUCAAUCCCUGCUGACAGUCUGGAAGAGGAAGAGCAAAUAGCAGAGCUGCAGCUAUUAAGACCAACAGGCAAGUAUUUUAUUCAAACUAAACUUUUUCUUCCUGGGUUACUUUUAAAGAAUAUUUUUCUGUUUGUGGGAAUGUGAAUGUGGGUUGUUUGUUUGUUUUCCUGGGGACUCUCCUAUUCAGCCGAUCUUCAUCUUCUCCCACAUUUCAGACAGCAGAGCUUGCAGCAGUGACAAGAUGUAAUCCCAAGUAAAACUGCCUCUGCCCAUGGCCUUGGUUAACCUGCUGGCAGUGAUACGUGCCUGGGCACGGGGCAGCUGUUUUACACAGCUCAGCAUGGACGUGCUGCCACUCCCAGUCACUUUUAGGACCCAGUUGAGUUGUUUACAGCAAUCUCAAAAAAACUUGUAAUAAAAUUGUUCUGCCUUCCUGAAGCCACCACUCCCAGAGACCUUUCCCCUUUCUUGUACACUGUGGGAGCCUCCUUCCUUCGGCUUCACACCUUUAUCAGCUGAAAAUGAUCCAAUACAGACCUGGUUGUUGUCAGGUUCUCCCUUAGAAGGAUGGGCUACACUGCCACUCUUGUGACUGUUGAGAACUGGAAGGUCAGAGGGAAACGCAGGGAAGUGGAAGCCUGCUCCCUCUUUUAUGUGGAACAGAGUCAGGAUAUGCCCUUGUAUGAAGUUCAGCAGAGGAAAACUUGGGCUACACUCGCAUUCCUACAUACCAUGCCAUACCAGUCAGCCUGGUACUAAUCUUCACGGACCUUUGAAGGCAUGAAACAACAUGCAGUGUAAAUGAAAUCUAAGCCACACCAUACCAGAUUAUUGGUGCCAGCCAGUUUUAGAAGACUGACACAAGAGCCAAAUGAAACAGGUACAGUGGUAGGAGAUGCCUUGUACCACCUGCAGGCACACAGAUCCACAGCACUUGUGCAGCAUCUCAGUCCAAAAGCAACGUGCGGCAUGUCAAGAGCUGGUGAACCCAGGGCCACUUAGACUUGAAUGCACUUUCCUGGGGAGGAAGUGGCUUUUCCCUUGGAAAGCUCAACUCCCCAGGGUCUGAAUGAGGUCAAUGGAAAAAGUGAUUUCUUCAGAAUAUGAUUCAGAGUGUCUAAGCACAGUCUUAUCUUAUUGACUACAGACAAAACUCAACCUCUGUAGAUGUAAACUAGCUUUUGUGAAUACCCAUCCCCUCUCGCCCCUUAACUGUAGGAUUUACACUACUGCUGGACAUGGUUAGUCCUUGGUAGGUCCACUGCCUGCUGAAAUUCAGGUGCUGCAAACCUGAGCUAGGAGAAGCUUGUGUAACAGAGCACAGAAUGUCCUGUUGGAUCCUGCUUUGUCCUUUUGAGUUACCUUGAGCUGUCAGAAAUGGAUUUGCAAGUACCAGAAGAAUGAAGUCAAGAAAGGUUGAUUUCUUUAGGAAUGCCCUGACUGGAGCUGGAAUAAUCAGCAUCUGUUUGAGUUUAAACUGAGUUUUUCAUUCUGGCCUUUUCCCCCUUUUAAAGUACAGGCAACUGAAGCCUUUAAUUUGCCCUGUCUUUCAUUGCAGAGAAAAGUAGGAGUUUCUAACAGCUGAUACUAUCCUGUAUAGAAUAGCUACACUAAAAAAAUACAGUUUAUUGUCUGUUGUGAAUGAAAAAGCUCUUGCUUGUUUGUGUUGUUUGUUGUGUUGACUUUGAAAGAUAAAUUGUUUGAACUGGUUGACUCUCCAUCUGUAUAACUGAAGAUUAGCUUCUUGAUAGCCUGCUGGAUUUGCAGUUUUCUUUUGAACUAAAUAAACUGAAGAACUGCUGGCCCAGGGGCAGUUAGGACACAAUGCAUACUGGAAAAAGUUUGUGUGCAUACAAGUUAAUAAGAGAAAAUAACUUCAUGCGUGACAUUCUGGAUGUGCUGUUUUAUUGUUGAUAUGCCCUGUCUUUCCACCUGGAAGAGGUCCUGUAAGACCUAGGAAGCUCACUUAAAAAAAUUACUGACAGACAUAGAUAGGUGGCUAAUGAGUUGAAAAUUGAAGCUGGCAGGACAAAAAUUGGUUUUUACACAAAGUUCUAAACCCAUAAAUCAUACUGCUUAUUUUUGAGAACACAAGUACUCAGUCUUU